GUGUCAGCAGCCGCGGUAAUACGGAGGGAGCGAACGUUGUUCGGAAUCACUGGGUGUAAAGGGUGCGUAGGCGGCCUUGUAUGUCGGAGGUGAAAUCUACCGGCUCAACCGGUCAAAUUGCCUCCGAAACUGCUUGGCUUGAGUCCGGAAGGGGAGGGUGGAAUUCCUGGUGUAACGGUGAAAUGUGCAGAUAUCAGGAGGAACACCGGUGGCGAAGGCGGCCCUCUGGUCCGGUACUGACGCUGAGGCACGAAAGCCAGGGGAUCAAACGGGAUUAGAUACCCCCGUAGUCC
rnacentral:rRNA from 1 species